rnacentral:rRNA from 1 species
UACAGAGGGUGCAAGCGUUGUUCGGAAUUAUUGGGCGUAAAGGGCGCGUAGGCGGUGCGGUAAGUCUGCGGUGAAAUCUCCCGGCUCAACUGGGAGGCUGCCGUGGAAACUGGCGAACUGGAGUGUGGCAGAGGGGGGUGGAAUUCCGCGUGUAGCAGUGAAAUGCGUAGAGAUGCGGAGGAACACCGAUGGCGAAGGCAGCCCCCUGGGCUAGCACUGACGCUCAGGCACGAAAGCGUGGGGAGCAAACAGG